rnacentral:rRNA from 1 species
UUGGCAGUUUUGUGCCAAGCUCGCCCGCCAAUUUAUGAAGGGGUAGGGCGCUAACCUUGGCAGGGACCUCCGCGAACGCAAAAAAGCCCUCCUAUCUGCCAUCCAGGCCUUGGACUCCCGGCGGACACUUCCGGGAUCUCCCCGGAUGAGUGGAUGUUGCGCUAUGAUCUUGAGGAUCAGCUCGCCACCAUCUAUACGGAUGAAGAAGCAUAUUGGAGGCUUCGCGGUACCCAGUGAUGGGUGCUGCGGGGCGACGCUAAUACGACAUACUUCCAAGCGAUCGCGAAUGGGCGGCAACGUCGGAACUCCAUCCACUGUUUGUGGUAUGGUGAUUCCUAGCUCGUCCGCCCCUCGGACAUCCGGGCGCACGUAGAUGGCUUUUACAAAGCCCUAUUCUCCCCCACCCUUCGAGGUGGGGCCGCUCAGGCAACCGACAUCUGGUCGGGCACCCAGCUUGUGUCUGAUGCGGACAAUGCCACCUUAGUUGCCCCGUUCUUCGAGGAGGAGGUCCUCGUGGCGAUUAAGGUCAUGAACGCCUCCUCGGUGCCAGGGCCGGAUGGACUGCCAGUGUCCUUUUUUAAAGCAUUCUGGCAGACCAUCAAACCUGAGGUCAUGGCUCUCUUCAACGAGUUUUUCUUGGGGACCAUGGAUCUUGGGCGCCUGAACUAUGGGGUUGUCACUCUUAUCCCCAGUUCCUGGGCGACGGACAUUUGCCAGUUCCGACCUAUCACUGUGAUCAAUGUGAUAUUUCGGAUCCUGGCCAAAGGGUACGCCAAUAGGAUGACCCUGCUAGCCAACUCAAUCACUCACCCCAACCAGUCG